UACGAAGGAGGCUAGCGUUGUUCGGAAUUACUGGGCGUAAAGCGCACGUAGGCGGAUUUGUUAGUCAGGGGUGAAAUCCCGGGGCUCAACCUCGGAACUGCCUUUGAUACUGCAAAUCUCGAGUCCGGAAGAGGUGAGUGGAAGUCCUAGUGUAGAGGUGAAAUUCGUAGAUAUUAGGAAGAACACCAGUGGCGAAGGCGGCUCACUGGUCCGGUACUGACGCUGAGGUGCGAAAGCGUGGGGAGCAAACAGG
rnacentral:rRNA from 1 species